AACCUGCUAAAUAAUCGAUAAUCCACGUUAAUUUUUACUUUUAUUUAAAUUUUAUAUACCUCCAUCUGAAGAAUUUAUUUUCAUAUUUUUUUCUAAAAAGAUCAUCUAAUAAGUUAGGUAAAGGUGUAGACCACAUAAAAGUUAUAGUGGGUUACUUUAAAAAAAAAUUAAGGAGAGAGAAAAAAAUUUUUUUUACAAAAAGGAUUUAUUAGUAAUAUUUAAACAAUAUUUAAAUUUGAACAUGAUAAUAAAUGUGU
rnacentral:rRNA from 1 species